UGGGCUGUUCCGAUGGUAUCAAAGACGGGAAUCCUGAUGGUGAUGCGGUGAAUUGGCUUGAGGUUGUCGGGAACUCGGAAGGAGAAGGCUGAACGCUGGGCGUGGAC
rnacentral:rRNA from 13 species